rnacentral:lncRNA from 1 species
UCUCCGGACUGGGGAUGGCUGAGACACAGCCUGGGCUGGACUGAACAGCUUCCAGAGGAGAACGGACAGGUGCCACGUGGUCAGGGAAGCCCCCACGGAGUCCGACGUGGCGGUGACUGCGGAUGCCCCACGGUGAGCCCGAGUCCAAGGGAGCAAAGAAGGAGAGGGCGUGUUUGGCUGCGUGAAAACAGUAGGAACGUUCUGAAAUCACGGAAUCCUUAUGAGAAGAACUCGUCAUCCAAUACCCAACAGGAGCUGCUCCUGCCCCGGUCUUCACAACGCGAGGGCUCCAUCCUCCGUGAUCCUUGAUAGCUCAGCUCUAGGAUCUUCACAACGAGAGGGCUCCGUCCUCUGUGGUCCUUGAUAGCUCAGCUCUAGGGCCGCGCACAUUCUUGGUAGAGUGGGACGUGUCUGCUGUUUUUCUAAAAGCUAUUUUUUAAAGGCCUCUGCAACACACAACAUACGUUCUUUUAAACCGCAGUGAAAACUUGAAUGUAAAAAUGGGCCUCACGGGAAUCUUUUCAAUAUUUUACAUUUCUUCGGAUACUUUUCAAAGCCCCUCCAUUUCUCCACCUCCCCUUUCUCAUCUGGUCUCAGCCGGCACAGUGUGGCACGGAGGUGGACCGAUUUCCUCAGGACACCACAGCCAAAGCUCGGAAAACCAGGUUUCCUGAGUUUCAGUUCAGCCAUCCACGACUGUGGUGACAGGCAUCGUGUCUUUCUCUUUAAGAAAAAAAGAAAAUUGUAUAUAAAUCACUGCUUUCAGCUCAGCAGGGAUGAAGUUGUGAGGAUGGUGCCUUCCUCAGGGUGGGACCCCAGUGGGGA